GUGUUCACUUUGGCAAUACACAUACUAAAGCUGGAAUAACACAUGGAUUGGCACAGCCGUUGUGUGAGGGUGACAUGCAUGUCUGUGAAGCAGUCUGUAUUUUU
ensembl:snRNA U6 U6 spliceosomal RNA